UACGGAGGAUCCAAGCGUUAUCCGGAUUUAUUGGGUUUAAAGGGUGCGUAGGCGGCCUGUUAAGUCAGGGGUGAAAGACGGUAGCUCAACUAUCGCAGUGCCCUUGAUACUGACGGGCUUGAGUACAGAUGAGGUAGGCGGAAUUGACGGUGUAGCGGUGAAAUGCAUAGAUAUCGUCAAGAACACCUAUAGCGAAGGCAGCUUACUGGGCUGUAACUGACGCUGAGGCACGAAAGCGUGGGGAGCAAACAGG
rnacentral:rRNA from 1 species